AUUCGCUAGUAAUCGCGCAUCAGCCACGGCGCGGUGAAUACGUUCCCGGGCCUUGUACACACCGCCCGUCAAGCCAUGGGAGCCGGGGGUGCCUGAAGUGCGUAACCGCGAGGAUCCGCCCUAGGGUAAAACUGGUGACUGGGCUAAGUCGUAACAAGGUAUC
rnacentral:rRNA from 1 species